UGCCAUCACAAUUGCGAAACGUAAACAAAGCAAAAGACAUACAUUUGAGGACGCAAAUAUUCACCGAGGAGGAGUGUGCCAGGCUUUAGGCCGUUCCCUAGCCGCGGUAGAUGUGCCCACGAUGGGACCCAAGGUUUAUUUGCCCCAAUGGGCCCGUACAGUGGUGGAUGAGUUUUCUUGCAACGGAUGAUUCUACGAGCUGGUGCAUGUGAUGGCCCUGUUCAAGCACCAUAUUCCGCAAUGCGGUCUGAAGGUGGAGGCUAGAGGCCACAUCUUUAGCCUGUGCUGUGGUGAAGAUUCUGAUACUGCCACAGCCAGGAAAGUCGGACCAACGUCAGCAGCAUCAGGGCGAUAUCAAAUCUCAGCUGCUGAGCGGCUCCUCGGCUUUCCUGAAUACCGACACUAUGUGUGGGAGGAUCUGAUGCGACAAUAUGGUGCGCUCGCAGACAAGGAGGAUUUGAGUCUAGAAGAAAAUAAAUGCAAUUGAAUUGCCCGUUCUACCAGUCACACACUCCAGUAACGAUUGAACCAUCCUCGUCCUACAAAGUUCCUGCCAUUAUCCAAAUAAAACAAACAAAUCUUUAAAAACCCAAAUGGAAAACAUACGGCUUAUAACAGAAUACCUGAAAGAAACAAAUAUUUACCAUGCCAUCGUAAUAAUCUUAACUUUGUUAUAGCACAAAAAUAACCAUCAUACAAUUUAGACA